AUUCUGUGCUCCCAGCUGCCUCUUUUCUAGGCCGGGAUGUAGUCCUCUGUUGGGCAGAGGGUAGCGGUUCAGAGCCCUAGGACCCGCCCCAGGACCAGCAGUUCCCAGCUCGGCCGGAUCCGCCCGGGUGGCGCGUACCAAGGCUGCGACGCGGAGUCUCCAGGCCCGGCCAGAAUCCUGCUCAUACAGGUCCUGUCCACAGUCUGGAAGGAAGAUGGGGCCUGAGUCUUGGCCUCCUGUACCCAAAACUGUUCUGGGCACCAGGUCUGCGUGUUUGAGCCAACAGUGAACAACGUCUGUGUAUGGAGUAGGAUACGGCCUUCAACUACAGUUUUUAAACUGCUCUUGAAAAAUCCAGUGACUUCAAAACCUCCUGUGCCACUUACCGCUGUGUGAGAUCAGGAAAGUUACCUAACCUCUCUGUGCCCCAGUUCCCUGUACAAUGGAAAAAUACUAACAAUCACAAUGUUGUGGAGAUUAAAGAAGUCACAGGCGAUAUUUGCAACAGUUUAUUAUAAAGGACAUUACCAAGGAUACAGAUAGACAAUCACAUGGAGGAAAUGCACGG